GUGAUGCCCAACCGCCAUCUCUCCUGGUAUGGGGGUCCCUCAGCUCUCCCUUCCUCCCCACAGGUAAUGGACAGCUCAAUGCCGCUGAUUGGAGAGCAUGUGGAAGAGGACAGACAGCUGAUGGCCGACCUUGUUGUCUCCAAAAUGAGCCAGCUCCCGAUGCCAGGAGGCACAGCGCCCUCCCCCCUCAGACCUUGGGCUCCACAGAUUAAAUCAGCGAAAUCCCCAGGGCAAGCCCAGCUGGGGCCUCAGCUAGGACAGCCCCAGCCACGCCCACCUCCGCAAGGAGGCCCUCGCCAAGCUCAGUCUCCUCAGCCCCAGAGAUCUGGAAGCCCCUCCCAACAGAGGCUCUCCCCACAAGGCCAGCAGCCCCUGAGCCCCCAGUCCGGAUCUCCACAGCAGCAAAGGUCACCAGGCUCUCCGCAGCUAUCCCGGGCAUCCAGUGGCAGCUCCCCAAACCAGGCCUCCAAGCCAGGUGCCACCCUCACCUCACAGCCCCGGCCCCCUGUGCAGGGCCGUAGUACCUCCCAGCAGGGUGAAGAGUCCAAGAAGCCAGCACCACCCCAUCCGCAUCUCAACAAAUCUCAGUCCCUGACUAACAGCCUCAGCACAUCCGACACCUCCCAGCGUGGGACCCCAAGUGAAGACGAGGCCAAGGCUGAAACCAUCCGCAACCUGAGGAAGUCUUUUGCCAGCCUGUUCUCUGACUAACGCCAUCCAGGCUGGGAGGGGAGGAGUGCUCUGCUACACUCGUCCCCCUCCUGCCUCAUCUUCCUUCUCAGCCUUGGUUCCUGAUGGGAACAGAAUGGAGGGCCUGAGAACAUACU
rnacentral:sRNA from 1 species